rnacentral:pre_miRNA from 1 species
UUAACUCCAAUUUGUAUGGAGUUGGGACGUUUAUUUACGUUUGCCGCUACGGGCGCUGUUCCAACUCCAUAUAAAUUUGAGUUA